rnacentral:rRNA from 1 species
UGGGCGCAAGCCUGAUCCAGCAAUGCCGCGUGCAGGAUGAAGGCCUUCGGGUUGUAAACUGCUUUUGUACGGAACGAAAAGCCCUGGGUUAAUACCCUGGGGUCAUGACGGUACCGUAAGAAUAAGCACCGGCUAACUACGUGCCAGCAGCCGCGGUAAUACGUAGGGUGCAAGCGUUAAUCGGAAUUACUGGGCGUAAAACGUGCGCAGGCGGUUUUGUAAGACAGAGGUGAAAUCCCCGGGCUCAACCUGGGAACUGCCUUUGUGACUGCAAGGCUAGAGUACGGCAGAGGGGGAUGGAAUUCCGCGUGUAGCAGUGAAAUGCGUAGAUAUGCGGAGGAACACCGAUGGCGAAGGCAAUCCCCUGGGCCUGCACUGACGCUCAUGCACGAAAGCGUGGGGAGCAAACAGGAUUAGAUACCCUGGUAGUCCACGCCCUAAACGAUGUCAACUGGUUGUUGGGUCUUAACUGACUCAGUAACGAAGCUAACGCGUGAAGUUGACCGCCUGGGGAGUA